UACGAAGGGUGCAAACGUUGCUCGGAAUUAUUGGGCGUAAAGAGCUCGUAGGCGGUUUGUCGCGUCUGCUGUGAAAACUCGAGGCUCAACCUCGGGCUUGCAGUGGGUACGGGCAGACUAGAGUGCGGUAGGGGAGACUGGAAUUCCUGGUGUAGCGGUGGAAUGCGCAGAUAUCAGGAGGAACACCGAUGGCGAAGGCAGGUCUCUGGGCUGUAACUGACGCUGAGGAGCGAAAGCAUGGGGAGCGAACAGG
rnacentral:rRNA from 1 species